GCCUGGGUGGCUCAGUUGGUUGAGCAUCUGACUUCAGCUCAGGUUGUGAUCUCAUGGUUCGUGGGUUUGAGCCCUGUAUCAGGCU
rnacentral:tRNA from 1 species